rnacentral:rRNA from 1 species
GACGAACGCUGGCGGCGUGCUUAACACAUGCAAGUCGAACGCUGAAGCUCAGCUUUUGUUGGGUGGAUGAGUGGCGAACGGGUGAGUAACACGUGAGUAACCUGCCCCCUUCUUUGGGAUAACGCCCGGAAACGGGUGCUAAUACUGGAUAUUCACUGGUCUUCGCAUGGGGGUUGGUGGAAAGGGUUUUUCUGGUGGGGGAUGGGCUCGCGGCCUAUCAGCUUGUUGGUGGGGUGAUGGCCUACCAAGGCUUUGACGGGUAGCCGGCCUGAGAGGGUGACCGGUAACAUUGGGACUGAGAUACGGCCCAGACCCCUACGGGAGGCAGCAGUGGGGAAUAUUGCACAAUGGGCGCAAGCCUGAUGCAGCGACGCCGCGUGAGGGAUGGAGGCCUUCGGGUUGUGAACCUCUUUCGCUCAUGGUCAAGCCGCAACAAUGGUUGUGGUGAGGGUAGUGGGUAAAGAAGCGCCGGCUAACUACGUG